rnacentral:rRNA from 1 species
UACGUAGGGUGCGAGCGUUAAUCGGAAUUACUGGGCGCAAAGCGUGCGCAGGCGGUUUUGUAAGCCAGAUGUGAAAUCCCCGGGCUUAACCUGGGAAUGGCAUUUGGGACUGCAAGGCUUGAGUGCGGCAGAGGAGACUGGAAUUCCUGGUGUAGCAGUGAAAUGCGUAGAUAUCAGGAGGAAUACCGAUGGCGAAGGCAGGUCUCUGGGCUGACACUGACGCUCAUGCACGAAAGCGUGGGGAGCAAACAGG